rnacentral:rRNA from 1 species
UACGUAGGGGGCAAGCGUUGUCCGGAUUCAUUGGGCGUAAAGAGCGUGUAGGCGGCCAGAUAGGUCCGUUGUGAAACCUGGAGGCUUAACCUCCAGCUGUCGAUGGAAACCAUCUGGCUAGAGUCCGGAAGAGGAGAGUGGAAUUCCUGGUGUAGCGGUGAAAUGCGCAGAUAUCAGGAAGAACACCCGUGGCGAAGGCGGCUCUCUGGGACGGUACUGACGCUGAGACGCGAAAGCGUGGGGAGCGAACAGG